rnacentral:lncRNA from 1 species
ACUAUAACGACGGGUCCAUGCGUUAGAGCAUGCGUUAGCAUGCGUGCCGCAUGGCCCAAACGCAUGCUUAACGCGUGAAAAGCAUGUGCUGUACGCAUGCGGUGCCCGCCCAUACGCAUGCGUGCGCUACCAGAGCGUGCGUUACCUAACGCAUGCUGGUGUUGGCUAGCGGCCGCAGCGACUCUUUCUGGAUGUACGCAUGCGUCCCGAACGCAUGCCAUACGCAUGCUUGAAGCACAUAUGCCGGUUGCGUGAAGUACUACGCAUGCCAUGGCGCAUGCGGGACGCAUGUGCGUUACCUAACGCAAGCAGCUGCCCCCAACUGCACGCUUCCCACCCGCAUGCAUGCACGCACACGUGGGGCACACGAAGCCAAUUCCCUCAACUGCUCAUUUGUGUUACAGUUCAUGCAACGGCACGUGCCGCGCGUCCAGUGUAAACGAGGAUUCGGCCUGUUUCUCUGAAGGCGUGAGUCCGCCUCCAUCCACCAGCCUCUCCUUAGGCUUUUAGUCCGCCAUCGCACACCCUGGAAAGGAAGUCUGCCCGCUCCACAUGCCCUGUCACCCAUCGACCUCCUCGCUCACCGAACGUGCCCUACCGUAACAUGAAUACAGAUGCGUAUGUAGCCGCUUCCGGGUAACAACCAAAUGCCACCCGCCAAGGCAUAAGCGGCAGAGGUGUGCCCAUACUAAAGUCUUGCCAAACACACAACGACAACCACAACGUCCGACCUACCUGCUGCACAGUGCUACCGCAGACUCUGCAUGCUGCCGGUGCCGGCACUCCAGUCCGUAGCUAGCCACAGAUGUGCAUGUAGCCACUUCCGCGGAACAACCAAACGCCACCCGCCAAGGCAUAAGCGGCAGAGGUGUGCCCAUACUAAGUCUUGCCAAACACACAACGACCUCAACCACAACGUCCGACCUGCUGCACAGUGCCACCGCAGACUCCGCAUGCUGCCGGUGCCAGCGCUCCAGUCCACAGCUAGCCACACCCGUGCUGCCCUUCGUAAGCCUGCAUAGUGUUCAGGACGAUUCGGUCAGGAACCAAACCCCAAAACCAGGCAUAUCAGAGGGUAAGACGCAAGGUACCUUUCCCCCCAUGUUCAGCUGCAGACACGCUACUCAUGCAGUGCUUACUUCAGCAAUUGCGAAAUAAGAUCUGGACAUAGACUUGCCUGUUGGGGUUAACGUGUGAGUGCGCCACGUCUAGCCCACCCAGGGGUGGUCCGCACGGGUGGCCCUUAGUGCGGCCGGAGUCCUGAGGGAGGGCGGGAGGGUACCCGGACUGAGAACUGAGCAUGAACUGAUGACAGGCGUGUACGGUGCCAUUAUACAGACACCUUAGCAUGCGCAUGCUCUCAGCUGACAGCCUCGGGAGCUAGCAACCAAGUCGCGCGGAUGGCCGCACCCCCGCCUCACCUGCGCCACGCGUGAUGGCUCUGUAGCCUUUUGAAAUGCUUUUGUUGAGCCUGAACCUGAACGAAUUGAAG